UGACUAGUCCGCAGGAUUUCCAGGUGCUAUCCUGCGUCUAGGCAUGAGCGGUCCAACCGGGGGACGAAACUCCAAAGCUCCCACAUCGGAACAUUCAACGCCAUGUGUAGCUCCCAAACUAUGUCCUACGCGCGCAGACUGGAUCAUCACACACCGGAACAUCCAACGCCAUGGUGAUGACCCUAAACAUUAUACAAAGUCUUUC
rnacentral:lncRNA from 1 species